AGGCAAUGAGGAGGAACAAAGUCAUGCACCACUCUGAUUUAAUCGGUGUUGAUAAUUGACUCAUAACCCAUAUUUAUCUGAGCCU